GGCCUGUUAGGCUCAGUUGGUUGGAGCAUUUUCAUGUAUACUGAAAGGCUGUGGGUUCAAUUCCCAAUCAGGUCA
rnacentral:tRNA from 1 species